rnacentral:rRNA from 1 species
AGAGUUUGAUCAUGGCUCAGAUUGAACGCUGGCGGCAUGCCUUACACAUGCAAGUCGAACGGUAACAGCACUUCGGUGGCUGACGAGUGGCGGACGGGUGAGUAAUACAUCGGAACGUGCCCGAUCGUGGGGGAUAACUACUCGAAAGAGUGGCUAAUACCGCAUACGAUCUACGGAUGAAAGCGGGGGAUCGCAAGACCUCGCGCGGACGGAGCGGCCGAUGGCAGAUUAGGUAGUUGGUGGGAUAAAAGCUUACCAAGCCGACGAUCUGUAGCUGGUCUGAGAGGACGACCAGCCACACUGGGACCGAGACACGGCCCAGACUCCUACGGGAGGCAGCAGUGGGGAAUUUUGGACAAUGGGGGAAACCCUGAUCCAGCCAUGCCGCGUGCAGGAUGAAGGCCUUCGGGUUGUAAACUGCUUUUGCACGGAACGAAAAGACUCUUUCUAAUACAGAGGGUCCAUGACGGUACCGUAAGAAUAAGCACCGGCUAACUACGUGCCAGCAGCCGCGGUAAUACGUAGGGUGCAAGCGUUAAUCGGAAUUACUGGGCGUAAAGCGUGCGCAGGCGGUUAUAUAAGACAGAUGUGAAAUCCCCGGGCUCAACCUG